UCCUCCCUCCUGCCCUUCCUCCCUGCCUCCCUUUCUUCCUCCCUCCCUUCCUCUCUCUUUUAAGAAAAAUUGAAAAUGGGUUUAUGUGUGAAAUCAACCAAUUUUUAAAUGCUACAAAAAUAACACUCUGCAAACAAAACACAUUAUUAACUUACUCUCUAUAGGAAGAAGCAAAAGCAGAUUUUUAAUAGCAAAAUGGCCAAAUAGGAAGCAAGAUAGAGACAAAGUACAAGGUAUGAAAAAUCUAUCAAAAGAGAAAGCUGCAUACACUUACACUCAAAGGAGGGGUACCACCCAGGGUGAUAGGUAGGGUCAUCUCAGAACUCAGCUGAAAUUGCCUGGGCCACACACUGCCUGAAUUCUCUAGCCUUUUUCUUCAUUGUCCUUCACAUUUCUGCCUUCCCUAGUGCCAGGCAUGGUGCUAAGCUCUUGAGAACUUUCUCAUGUAGCGCACAGGAUGUUACACCGCUGCGGAGGAAGCAGACACUUGAACAUUGAUGCCAAAAGCGAUGGGAAUCGUGAUCAUAUUAAGGGAGCACCUAGGAAGGACACAUCCACAGAUUGGCAGCUCUACGUAGGACUCUGAGAGAGGAAUAAGACAUGGUUUGGAAGCAAAGGCCAGGAAACCGGCAAGAUGACAAUAAGUUACCUUUGAGGAAAUGUCAGGGAAAUGAGCAAUAUGGAGAGACAAUACACGAGAGGAAACGGACCAGAUCUGUUUGGACUUCACCCUAAAGAUCGAGGUGUAUACCAUUUCCAGCGCGUGGCAAGAUUCCCCUAAAGAGCUCCCCAGCACUCUCCCCAGCAGUCACCUGGUAUCACACAGUGUAUACGCUUCUGUAACUUUUUUUUUUUUUUUU